rnacentral:rRNA from 1 species
GUGGCGGACGGGUGAGUAACACGUGGGAACGUGCCCUUUGGUACGGAAUAACUCAGGGAAACUUGAGCUAAUACCGUAUGUGCCCUUCGGGGGAAAGAUUUAUCGCCAUUGGAGCGGCCCGCGUCUGAUUAGCUAGUUGGUGAGGUAAUGGCUCACCAAGGCUACGAUCAGUAGCUGGUCUGAGAGGAUGACCAGCCACAUUGGGACUGAGACACGGCCCAAACUCCUACGGGAGGCAGCAGUGGGGAAUCUUGCGCAAUGGGCGAAAGCCUGACGCAGCCAUGCCGCGUGGAUGAUGAAGGUCUUAGGAUUGUAAAAUCCUUUCACCGGGGACGAUAAUGACGGUACCCGGAGAAGAAGCCCCGGCUAACUUCGUGCCAGCAGCCGCGGUAAUACGAAGGGGGCUAGCGUUGCUCGGAAUUACUGGGCGUAAAGGGCGCGUAGGCGGACAUUUAAGUCGGGGGUGAAAUCCCAGGGCUCAACCCUGGAACUGCCUUCGAUACUGGAUGUCUUGAGUGCGGGAGAGGUGUGUGGAACUCCGAGUGUAGAGGUGAAAUUCGUAGAUAUUCGGAAGAACACCAGUGGCGAAGGCGACACACUGGCCCGUUACUGACGCUGAGGCGCGAAAGCGUGGGGAGCAAACAGGAUUAGAUACCCUGGUAGUCCAC